rnacentral:rRNA from 1 species
GACGAACGCUGGCGGCGUGCCUAAUACAUGCAAGUAGAACGCUGAAGGAGGAGCUUGCUCUUCUGGAUGAGUUGCGAACGGGUGAGUAACGCGUAGGUAACCUGCCUGGUAGCUGGGGAUAACUAUUGGAAACGAUAGCUAAUACCGCAUAACAGUACAUGUUGCAUGACAUUUACUUAAAAGGUGCAAUGGCAUCACUACCACAUGCACCUGCGUUGUAUUAUCUAGUUGGUGGGGUAACGGCUCACCAAGGCGACGAUACAUAGCCGACCUGAGAGGGUGAUCGGCCACACUGGGAGUGAGACACGGCACAGACUCCUACGGGAGGCAGCAGUAGUGAAUCUUCGGCAAUGGACGGAAGUCUGACCGAGCAACGCCGCGUGAGUGAAGAAGGUUGUCGGAUCGUAAAGCUCGGUUGUAAGAGAAGAACGAGUGUGAGAGUGGAAAGUUCACACUGUGACGGUAACUUACCAGAAAGGGACGGCUAACUACGUG